UACAGAGGGGGCAAGCGUUGUUCGGAAUUACUGGGCGUAAAGGGCGCGUAGGCGGCCCUCUAAGUCAGACGUGAAAUCCCUCGGCUCAACCGGGGAACUGCGUCUGAGACUGGAAGGCUUGAAUUCGGGAGAGGGAUGUGGAACUCCAGGUGUAGCGGUGAAAUGCGUAGAUAUCUGGAGGAACACCGGUGGCGAAGGCGGCAUCCUGGACCGAGAUUGACGCUGAUGCGCGAAAGCCAGGGGAGCAAACGGG
rnacentral:rRNA from 1 species